rnacentral:lncRNA from 1 species
GUUUUUAUACGACCGCAAAUUUUGAAAAAAAUUUCGUCGUAUAUUGCUAUCACGUUGGCGUCGUCGUCGUCGUCCGAAUACUUUUAGUUUUCGCACUCUAACUUUAGUAAAAAGGCAUAGAAAUCUAUGAAAUUUUAACACAAGGUUUAUGACCAUAAAAGGAAGGUUGGUAUUGAUUAUGGGAGUUUUGGUCCCAACAUUUUAGGAAUUAGGGGCCAAAAAGGGCCCAAAUAAGCAUUUUCUUGGUUUUUGCACUAUAACUUUAGUUUACCCCGGUAAGUUAAUAGAAAUCUAUGAAAUUUUGACACAAGGUUUAUGACCACAAAAGAAAGGUUGGGAUUGAUUUUGGGAGUUUUGGUUUCAACAGUUUAGGAAUUAGGGGCCAAAAAAGGGCCCAAAUAAGCAUUAUUCUUGGUUUUUGCACAAUAACUUUAGUUUAAGUAAAUAGAAAUCAAUGAAAUUUAAACACAAUGUUUAUGACCACAAAAGGAAGGUUGGUAUUGAUUUUGGGAGUUAAGGUCCCAACAGUUUAGGAAUUAGGGGCCAAAAAGGGACCCAAAUAUGCAUUUAUCUUGGUUUUCGCACCAUAACGUUAGUAUAAGUAAAUAGAAAUCUAUGAAAUUUAAACACAAGGUUUAUGACCAUAAAAGGAAGGUUGGUAUUGUUAGCUCACCUGGCUUAAAAGGCCAUGUGAGCUUUUCUCAUCACUUGACGUCCGUCGUCGUCGUCUGUCGUCGUUAACAAUUUUUCAAACAUCUUCUCCUCUGAAACUACUGAAUGGAUUUGAAUGAAACUUAGCAUGAUUGUUCCUUAGAGUAUCCUGCACAAAGUGUGUGCUUCGAUUUUUGAUCCGUCAAAAAACAUGGCCGCCGUUACUUAAAAUAGAACAUAGGGGUCAAAUGCAGUUUUUGGCUUAUAUCUCAAAAACGAAAACAUUUAGAGCAAAUCUGACGUGGGGUAAAAAUGUUCAUUAGGUCAAGAUCUAUCAGCCCUGAAAUUUUCAGAUGAAUCAAACAAUACAUUGUUGGGUUGCUGCCACUUAAUUGGUAAUUUUAAGGAAAUUUUGCAGUUUUUGGUCAUUAUCUUGAAUAUUAUUAUAGAUAAAGAUAAACUGUAAACAGCAA